CCUACGGGAGGCAGCAGUGGGGAAUAUUGCACAAUGGGGGGAACCCUGAUGCAGCAAUGCCGCGUGGGUGAAGAAGCACUCCGGUGCGUAAAGCCCUGUCAGCAGGGAAGAAAAUGACAGUACCUGGACAAGAAGCCCCGGCUAACUACGUGCCAGCAGCCGCGGUACUACGUAGGGGGCAAGCGUUAUCCAGAUUUACUGGGUGUAAAGGGAGCGCAGGCGGCGUGGCAAGUCAGAUGUGAAAACCCGGGGGCCAACCCCGGGAGUGCAUUUGAAACUGCCAUGCUUGAGUGCCGGAGAGGUAUGCGGAAUGCGUGGUGUAGCGGUGAAAUGCAUAGAUAUCACGCAGAACUCCGAUUGCGAAGGCAGCAUACCGGCGCUCAACUGACGCUCAUGCACGAAAGUGUGGGUAUCGAACAGGAUUAGAUACCCCUGUAGUC
rnacentral:rRNA from 1 species